UACGUAGGGCGCGAGCGUUAUCCGGAAUUAUUGGGCGUAAAGAGCUCGUAGGCGGUUUGUCGCGUCUGCUGUGAAAGCCCGGGGCUCAACCCCGGGUCUGCAGUGGGUACGGGCAGGCUGGAGUGCAGUAGGGGAGACUGGAAUUCCUGGUGUAGCGGUGAAAUGCGCAGAUAUCAGGAGGAACACCGGUGGCGAAGGCGGGUCUCUGGGCCGUAACUGACGCUGAGGAGCGAAAGCGUGGGGAGCGAACAGG
rnacentral:rRNA from 1 species